rnacentral:rRNA from 1 species
CAGUCGCCGCGGGAAUACGUAGGGUGCAAGCGUUAAUCGGAAUUACUGGGCGUAAAGCGUGCGCAGGCGGUUAUAUAAGACAGAUGUGAAAUCCCCGGGCUCAACCUGGGAACUGCAUUUGUGACUGUAUAGCUAGAGUACGGCAGAGGGGGAUGGAAUUCCGCGUGUAGCAGUGAAAUGCGUAGAUAUGCGGAGGAACACCGAUGGCGAAGGCAAUCCCCUGGGCCUGUACUGACGCUCAUGCACGAAAGCGUGGGGAGCAAACAGGAUUAGAUACCCCUGUAGUCCCUGUCUCUUAUAC